rnacentral:rRNA from 1 species
CCUACGUGAGGCAGCAGUGGGGAAUAUUGCACAAUGGGGGAAACCCUGAUGCAGCGACGCCGCGUGAGUGAAGAAGUAUUUCGGUAUGUAAAGCUCUAUAAGCAGGGAAGAAAAGGACGGUACCUGAUUAAGAAGCACCGGCUAACUACGUGCCAGCAGCCGCGGUAAUACGUAGGGGGCAAGCGUUAUCCGGAUUUACUGGGUGGAAAGAGAGCGUAGACGGCAGCACAUGUCUGUAGUGAACGGCCGGGGCUUAAACCCGGGACUGCGUAGGAAACUGUGCAGCUAGAGUGCAGGAGAGGUAAGUGGAAUUCCUAGUGUAGCGGUGAAAUGCGUAGAUAUUAGGAGGAACACCAGUGGCGAAGGCGGCUGACUGGACUGUAACUGACGUUGAGGCUCGAAAGCGUGGGGAGCAAACAGGAUUAGAUACCCGGGUAGUC